CCUACGGGAGGCAGCAGUGGGGAAUCUUCCGCAAUGGACGAAAGUCUGACGGAGCAACGCCGCGUGAGUGAAGAAGGUUUUCGGAUCGUAAAACUCUGUUUUCAGGGACGAAUGUGCAGAUUGUGAAUAAUGAUUUGUAAUGACGGUACCUGAGUAGAAAGCCACGGCUAACUACGUGCCAGCAGCCGCGGUAAUACGUAGGUGGCAAGCGUUGUCCGGAAUUAUUGGGCGUAAAGCGCGCGCAGGUGGGAUAUUAAGUCUGGUGUUAAAGUUCGGGGCUCAACCCCGUGAAGCAUUUGGAAACUGAUAUUCUUGAGUGCAGGAGAGGAAAGUGGAAUUCCUAGUGUAGCGGUGAAAUGCGUAGAUAUUAGGAGGAACACCAGUGGCGAAGGCGACUUUCUGGACUGUGUCUGACACUGAGGCGCGAAAGCCAGGGUAGUGAACGGGAUUAGAUACCCCGGUAAUCCUGGCCGUAAGCGAUGGGUACUAGGUGUUGGGGGUAUCGACCCCUCCAGUGCCGGAGUUAACGCAAUAAGUACCCCGCCUGGGAGUACGGCCGCAAGGUUGAAACUCAAAGAGUAGUAGGACGUGAGAGUCGCGACGAGACACAGGGAGGUUAGG
rnacentral:rRNA from 1 species